CCCUACGGGGCGCACCAGGCGCGAAACCUCUGCAAUAGGCGAAAGCUUGACAGGGUUACUCUGAGUGAUGCCCGCUAAGGGCAUCUUUUGGCACCUCUAAAAAUGGUGCAGAAUAAGGGGUGGGCAAGUCUGGUGUCAGCGGCCGCGGUAA
rnacentral:rRNA from 1 species